AGCAGCCGCGGUAAUUCCAGCUCCAAUAGCGUAUAUUAAAGUUGUUGCAGUUAAAAAGCUCGUAGUUGAAUUUCGGGAUCAAUAUGUUGGUCGUGCCUCGGUACGUACUAGCUUAUUGGUUUCUCCUUUCUGAAGAACCAUGAUGUCAUUUAUUUGGUGUCGUGGGGAAUCAGGACUGUUACUUUGAAAAAUUAGAGUGUUUAAAGCAGGCUCACGCUUGAAUACAUUAGCAUGGAAUAAUGAAAUAGGACGUUUGAUUCUAUUUUGUUGGUUUCUAGGAUCGACGUAAUGAUUAAUAGGGAUAGUUGGGGGCAUUAGUAUUCAAUUGUCAGAGGUGAAAUUCUUGGAUUUAUUGAAGACUAACUACUGCGAAAGCAUUUGCCAAGGAUGUUUUCAUUAAUCAAGAACGAAAGUUAGGGGAUCGAAGACGAUCAGAUACCGUCGUAGUCUUAACCAUAAACUAUGCC
rnacentral:misc_RNA from 1 species